AACACAGCAAUCGUCUCAUUUCCAGACGGUACUCUUGUCUGCCCCCGAUUUCUUGAUUUCCGAUGCGUAAUCUUGAUCCGGUGGGAUUAGAUUUAUCAUUAGUUUGUGUAAAUCUAAGUUUUAUCUCCAAUUUUCUCGUUGUUUUGAUGCAUUCCUUUAGGCUUUUCUUUAUUUCAAUGGAAUGCAUCGGAUUUGAUGGAAUAUUGUUAUUCGGUAGGAAUUUACAUAUGUUCUUUUGAUUUAAGUUAUGAAGUGAUUCGUGGAUGAUCAUCUUAUGCUAUUUGUUCAAUUUUGACUAUAAAAAACUCUUUUUUAAUUGAAUGAUUCCCAAACCAAAAUUGAAAGAUCAUUUCUUGGCUAUGCUAUGUCAUCAAUUAAGGUAAAAUUAUCUGUGAAAUGUUUCUGAAUGCGUUAUCCUUCAAGAAGGAUUGAUGGAAAAGGAAAAAAUUUAGAAGGGAAAUUGUAAUGUGCUAAAUUUCCUCAUACCUGCAUUGACCUAAUACACAUAAAUCUAAUGGUGAGCAUGACGAGGAUUUUCAAGGUUUUUCCUAGUUCUGCUUGUACCAAUCUUUGAUCCUUAAACCAAUUGGUGGUAGCGCGCAUCUUUGUCCACCACGGCGUAAGGAGAUUGGUGAUUUUGAAGGUUUUUCACUCCAAUUCCAAACCAAACCAAAGUUUAAUGGUGGCUGUCUCAAUGUUGAUAGAUUUCAUUUAUUGGUACUUUAUGCUAGUGACAAAAGGGAAAAGUUCAAGUAAGAUAUUGUUGGUUGAUAUUCUACAACUUAAAAGUGAGAUUUUUCUUUUGCAAUUGAUAUCAUGCUUGUUUUAAACUUAUGUUAUGAAGUGUUCAUUGAAGUGUAUACAAAAUUGAUUGUUUUUAUUUAUCUUACUUGGAUGUUACUGAGAAUAAUCUGGCUUGAUGUUAAUUUUUUCACACAAUGACUUCUCACUCGAUUAUUCCUGGUGAUACCAACACAGUCUUCACGUACUUGUUCUUAAAAGUGGAUUACAGAAUAUACGUUUUCAUGGAGAUUAAAUUAUUCUUACAUAAUUGAGAAGAUAGCUUAUUUUUCCUAGAGAACUCAUCCCUGAACGUGUAGUUCAUGCAAGAGGAGCCAGUGCCGAAGGCUUCUUCUAAUUUACUCAUGAUGUAGCUCAUCUCUGCACUGACAUUUGUCCAUGUCCCUGAGUGUCCAAAAAGUCCGGUCCUCAUUUACUUCUGCACAGUAGUUGAUGACUGGCAGCCCUGAAAUGAUCUGCAAUUUCCCAGGGGAACUUUGUCUGUUUGGGAAACAACUUUCCUGUUUUCUUCAGCAGAAACGGCAUGAUAUUCCCAGACCAGAUCCAUGCCUUCCAAACCAAACCGCAAGACAAAUGUUCCAGAAAACUGGAUAGCAUUUGACUUCCUGUCUCACUCCCCGGGAGCAACCACACCUUCUUUCUGUUUGAUGAUUCCGACAUCCCCAUGGAGUACAAGUAUAUGGAAGGUUUUGGUGUCAACACCCAUAGCUUCAUCAACAGGUAUUCAAGGUACCCCUCCCUUCUUUAACAAACAAGGUGAGAUGCAUUAAAUGGAGUUUCUCCGGAAAUCAACAUGCAGCAUUUAUAGUUUGUUAGAUGAUGAGGUGAUCAUUGGAGGAAAGAACCACUGCCAUGUGAUGCAGGAUCUCUACAAGGUCAUUGCCGCUGGGAGCUACCCAGAAUCAAAAACUCUAUGUUCAGGCAAGCGGGUUUGAGCAUGAGGAUCACUAUGACUUUGAUAAACUUGAUGAUAUAAAGAUAUGGGCAGAGGAUUUACUGCCAUUGCAGCCAGUGAGAAGGUUAAUUCUGAACAAGAACAUUGAUAA